AACUGGAAUUUCUAGUGUAGGAGUGAAAUCCGUAGAUAUUAGAAGGAACACCGAUAGCGUAGGCAGGUUACUGGGACAGUUCUGACACUAAGGCACGAAAGCGUAGGGAGCAAACGGGAUUAGAUACCCCGGUAGUCUACGCCGUAAACGAUGGAUACUAGCAGUUUUGGGUAUCGACCCCCGGAGUUGCGAAGCUAACGCGUUAAGUAUCCCACCUGUGUAGUACGAUCGCAAGAUUAAAACAUAAAGGAAUUGACGGGGACCCGCACAAGCGGUGGAGCGUGAUCUUUAAUUCGAUGGUAAACGAUAAACCUUACCAAGGCUUGACAUCCGAUGUAGGCUCUCGAAAGAGAACUGUGCCUUCGGGAACAUCGAGACAGGUGAUGCAUGGCCGUCGUCAGCUCGUGUCGUGAGAUGUUUGGUUAAGUCCAUCAACGAGCGCAACCCUUGCAACCAGUUGUAUUUUUCUGGUAGGACUGCCCCGGUAACGGGGAGGAAGGAGGGGAUGAUGUCAGGUCAGUAUUUCCCUUACGCCUUGGGCUAGAAUCGCGCUACAAUGGCUGGUACAAUGCGAAGCGAAGCAGUGAUGUGAAGCAAAUCGCACCAAAGCCAGUCCCAGUUCGGAUAGAAGGCUGAAACUCGCCUUCUUGAAGUCGGAAUCGCUAGUAAUCGCAGAUCAGCAUGUUGCGGUGAAUACGUUCCCGGGUCUUGUACACACCGCCCGUCAAACCAUGAGAGUCACCAACACCCGAAGUCCGCCUCGGCGGCCUAAGGUGGGGGAGAUGAUUGGGGUUAAGUCGUAACAAGGCAUCGGUACGAGAACGUGUCGAUG
rnacentral:rRNA from 1 species